UACGGAGGAUGCAAGCGUUAUCCGGAUUCAUUGGGUUUAAAGGGUGCGCAGGCGGGCUUUUAAGUCAGUGGUGAAAAGCUGCCGCUUAACGGUAGUCUUGCCAUUGAUACUGAGAGUCUUGAGUUUGGAUGAGGUAGGCGGAAUGUGCAGUGUAGCGGUGAAAUGCAUAGAGAUUGCACAGAACACCGAUUGCGAAGGCAGCUUACUAAGAUACAAUUGACGCUGAUGCACGAAAGCGUGGGUAGCAAA
rnacentral:rRNA from 1 species